rnacentral:sRNA from 1 species
GAUGGGCGCGGUGGUGCACGCCUGGAAUCCCAGUGGCUCAGGAGGCUGAGGCAGGAGGAUAGUGAGUUCAAAGCCAGUCUCAGCAAAAGUGAGGCGCUGAGCAAUACAGUGAGACCCUGUCUCUA